CCCCUAGAUGUUCUGGGCCGCACGCGCGCUACACUGAACAGUUAAACAAGUCUUAACCUUGGCCGAUAGGUCUGGGUAAUCUUUGAACGCUGUUCGUGAUUGGGAUAGACCUUUGCAAUUAUGGGUCUUCAACGAGGAAUUCCUAGUAAACGCAAGUCAUCAGCUUGCAUUGAUUACGUCCCUGCCCUUUGUACACACCGCCCGUCGCACCUACCGAUUGAAUGGUCCGGUGAAAUCUCGGGACGGCGGCUUGGUCGCUUGCGUCCGACUGCUGAAACUUGAUUAAACCAUNUNAUUUAGNGGAAGGUGAANUCGUANCA
rnacentral:rRNA from 1 species